GCCCCCAGCGCCGCUUCCCCCUGCCCUGCCUCGCUUCUCCUCGCCUCACCCUGCCCGCCAUGUCGCUGGGCGCCGGCCCCGAGGCGGGUUUCUCCAGCGAGGAGCUGCUGACCCUGCGCUUCCCCCUGCACCGCGCCUGCCGCGAUGGGGACCUGCCCGCCUUGUGCGCGCUGCUCCAGAGCUCGCCCCGCUCCGACCUGGCCGCCGAGGACUCCUUCUACGGCUGGACGCCCAUCCACUGGGCCGCGCACUUCGGCAAGCUGGAGUGCCUAAUACAGUUAGUAAGAGCCGGAGCUUCUGUAAAUGCCAGUACAACACGUUUUGCUCAAACACCAGCCCACAUUGCUGCUUUUGGAGGACAUCCACAGUGCCUGAAUUGGUUGAUUCAAGUGGGGGCCAACAUAAACAAACAGGAUUAUGUUGGUGAAACUCCUAUUCAUAAAGCAGCACGGUCUGGUAGUGUGGAUUCCAUAAGUGCCCUUGUGGCUCACGGUGCGCAAAUAGACAUGGACAAAAUGGAUGCAGUUUUCACCUAGAAAUCUGAAGCAUAUUCUGUGCACAGUAUGUCCUACAGCCAUAAAAAUGGUUGCUCCACUAACUAUGGUAUUCAUGGACCCUUGAAGAGGGGGAAGCAGGUGGUCACAAUGUCCUCAUAUGAGUGAAAAGCUACGUAAUUCGAAUUGACUUGAUUUUUUCAAGUAAUCCUAGAAAGGGGGAGCAUUCCAUAUAGAAACUGCUGAAACUGCCACAGGUGCUUCUCCGAAAACCUUACAGUUGUGGCAUUGAAUGUUCAGUAUCGCUUCCUUUCUGCACACAAGGCAUACUGUUGAGGUAUUUGUUGCGGUGAUUGGUUUUAAUGCUAAUCUAGGAAUUCAGAUAUAGAAUCUAUAGAUUUGCAUGCUUUGCUUACCCUAAUUUACAAUUAUCUACUUUUUUUUUAUUUGUAAACUAACAAUAGAUAAGUUGAGAUCAGUAUUUUUUAACAGAUAUUACAUUGAUAUACAAAAACUGUGGUUUAUUUUCUUAGAUUGUCGCAUGGCAUUAACAAAAACACAGUGAGCUGUAGGUGAUGUAAUCACUAUUUAAAAUUAGAGGAUUUUUUUUACAUAUGAAUGUUUUUUCAAAAAGAUUGAAUGUUGAAUUUUUGUAGCAAACAUUUGUUUUGUUUUUCAAGGUAUGUGACAUUAUAAGUGGAAGAUAGAGUAUUUCAAGUAGUACAUAUCGAAGACGCAUAGAAAUGUACUUGAUUUUUUCCUUCAAUGAAUAUAAAAAAUACGAACAACUGAAACAUCUUAGAAUCAAGUUCGUCUAAGUAAAUUCAGUAUAAUUUAAGUCAAUGCAAGAAACACAAGUCUUUCUUUCCACAGAUCCUUCGAAGAGUAAUUUUUUUAGAGUUAUCUUGAAAUAAAUCUUCCUUACAAGAAAGUACAUUUAAACAAUUUUAAGUUAAUUUUUUUGUACUUUCUGUACCUUAAUCACAGUGGAAUUAUCUUCCAUAUUUUCUGAGAGCUUACCUCAGAUUUUUUCCUUCCUUUAGUGAACUUCUCAAAACAACAAAUUGUGGUUAGAUUGAGAUAAUAAAAAUCUCCCUAAACUAAGGCUAAAUUGAAAGUUGACUUUGUGUUUCUAUAUGCAAAUCCUGUUUGGUCAGGAUAUUUAUUUAUGUAUGAACAGCAAUUGAGUUACACACACAGCCCUUUUAAAAGCAUUUCAGAAGUAGGGAAUAACUAAGCAUAAGCUUCAACAGUGUCCUCUCUAUAGUUGCUUUAAUUUGAUACCAAGACUCUCAGAUAAACUGGGCCUUUAAAAUGGGAGUUGUGAUGUCAACUGGAAGGAGAAAAACAAAAUUUAAAAAAAAAAAAGUCCUCUUCAUGCCAAGAUUAGUCAGUUUUGAAGACUACCUGUGGACAUCUCUUGAUGGAUGAAGAAAUACUAGGUUGUAAGAGUAUUGUUUAAGCACUAUAGAAGGUAUGUGAAUAAAUGUAUAUGCAAAAGUCAGAGUUUUAACUCAAACAGUGCGUGCUUUCAGUUCAUUUAUAAAACACUUGUCACUACAGAAUUCAAGUGUUAAAUGUAAUCUGUCAAGAAACCUCAAGAUCACCUACUUCUCCAUAUCCAGAUUUCCUUCAACUUUUCUCAUGGACCUUUUCUAUUUAUAAUAACUUUAUAGUGUGAAAAUGUAUCUUUCCAAGUGUAUUUUUUUCUUUUGUUCUGGUGUUAGCAUCCCAAACUUCCAUUCUUCAAGGAAAAUAAUACAUCUUUAUCAUUCCCAGCUCCUGGAUUUUUGUCUACAAAGAAGGCUGAGGGUAAAUAACAUCAUGCUUUGUGAUUCUAAUUUAACUGCAGUAAUAAGAGUAAUAAAUACAAUGAAUAAACUAUAAAGCAAAAUGAAAUACCGCCAAGUUAUCUUAAGAGGACUCAUUUGUUUUUCAAAUAUGAAUGGAAAAUCAAAUGGAAAUGAUGCAAGGUUUGUGCUUUCUAAGCGU